GUCUAUGGCCAUCCCACCCUGAACAAGCCCGAUCUCAUCUGAUCUCGGAAGCUAAGCAGGGUCGGGCCUGGUUAGUACUUGAAUGGGGGACCACCUAGGAAGACCAGGUGCUGUAGGUG
rnacentral:rRNA from 1 species